AGCUCCAAUAGCGUAUAUUAAAGUUGUUGCAGUUAAAAAGCUCGUAGUUGGAUCUCGGGUACUAGCAUGUGGUACGCAUAACUGCUGUUACUACAUGUCUGGUCCUAAUCAAUCGGUUGGCCGUUGAUGUCCUUCAUUGGGUGUUUUCGGUAGCCGGUACGUUUACUUUGAGAAAAUUAGAGUGCUUAAAGCAGGCUAUAGGCCUGAAUAAUGUUGCAUGGAAUAAUAGAAUAGGACCUCGGUUCUAUUUUGUUGGUUUUGUGGAGCAUUGAGGUAAUGAUUAAUAGGGACAGUCGGGGGCAUUCGUAUUUCGGUGUUAGAGGUGAAAUUCUUGGAUCGCCGCAAGACGAACAACUGCGAAAGCAUUUGCCAAGAAUGUUUUCA
rnacentral:rRNA from 1 species